CAGAUUGAACGCUGGCGGCAGGCCUAACGCAUGCAAGUCGAACGGUAACAGAAAGCAGCUUGCUGCUUUGCUGACGAGUGGCGGACGGGUGAGUAAUGUCUGGGAAACUGCCUGAUGGAGGGGGAUAACUACUGGAAACGGUAGCUAAUACCGCAUAACGUCGCAAGACCAAAGAGGGGGACCUUCGGGCCUCUUGCCAUCGGAUGUGCCCAGAUGGGAUUAGCUUGUUGGUGGGGUAACGGCUCACCAAGGCGACGAUCUCUAGCUGGUCUGAGAGGAUGACCAGCCACACUGGAACUGAGACACGGUCCAGACUCCUACGGGAGGCAGCAGUGGGGAAUAUUGCACAAUGGGCGCAAGCCUGAUGCAGCCAUGCCGCGUGUAUGAAGAAGGCCUUCGGGUUGUAAAGUACUUUCAGCGGGGAGGAAGGGAGUAAAGUUAAUACCUUUGCUCAUUGACGUUACCCGCAGAAGAAGCACCGGCUAACUCCGUGCCAGCAGCCGCGGUAAUACGG
rnacentral:rRNA from 1 species